CAGUCGCCACGGUAAUACGUAGGGUGCGAGCGUUAAUCGGAAUUACUGGGCGUAAAGCGUGCGCAGGCGGUUAUAUAAGACAGAUGUGAAAUCCCCGGGCUCAACCUGGGACCUGCAUUUGUGACUGUAUAGCUAGAGUACGGUAGAGGGGGAUGGAAUUCCGCGUGUAGCAGUGAAAUGCGUAGAUAUGCGGAGGAACACCGAUGGCGAAGGCAAUCCCCUGGACCUGUACUGACGCUCAUGCACGAAAGCGUGGGGAGCAAACAGGAUUAGAUACCCGGGUAGUCCCUGUCUCUUAUAC
rnacentral:rRNA from 1 species